UCAUCUCCAAUCAAGCAAGAAGACCUGCUGAAUUGAAGCAUCUAACUAAGCAGAGGAAAAGAAAAUAACGAUGAUUCCCUUAGUAACGGCGAGUGAAGUGGGAAAAGCCCAAUCCGAAUUAACAGUUAAUUGUGUUAAGUUGUGGAGUGUAGAAGUAUUGUUUAGUAUUAGUAUACUAUGAGAAUUGGAUUGGAAAGUCAAGUCAUAGAAGGUGAAAACCCUGUAUUUGCAUAGUGUAUUGUACUUGUGAAGCAGUACUUCGUGGAGUCGAGUUGUUUGGGAUUGCAGCUCGAAGUUGGUGGUAAACUCCAUCAAAGGCUAAAUAUGUUCAAGAGACCGAUAGCGAACAAGUACCGUGAGGGAAAGAUGAAAAGCACUUUGAAAAAAGAGUGAAAUAGUACUUGAAAUCGUGGAGGGGUUAAGCGUAGGAGUGGUUGAAUGAUGCAUGGAUUGUUAUUGUUGCAUGUUUGUGAUGAUAAGAAUGUAUGCAAAGGAGUGGUUGUUUAGUGGUGGUGGAAUGGUUUGAAACAUUGCUACUGAACUUCCCUUAAUUCCUAAUAACUGCUUCUCCGUCCCGUCUUGAAACACGGACCAAGGAGUCUAUCAUAUUUGCGAGUAGUUUAGUGUUAAACUAAAAUGCGUAAUGAAGGUAAUGGUUGUGACGAACCCUUCUAAACGGGUUUAGCAACAACUACCGGUCUUGCAUCUCUGAUAAAGGAUUCGAGUAUUAGCAAAGAUGGUGGGACCCGAAAGAUGGUGAACUAUGGAGCCAUGCAUUUAAUAAUAUUAGU
rnacentral:ncRNA from 1 species